ensembl:snoRNA small nucleolar RNA, C/D box 7
AUGCGAUGAUGAGUGAAGUAUAGUCUGACCUGGUAUUGCCAUUGCCUCAGUGCUGGCUCUGACCAGGGUAUGAUUCUUUAAUCUUCUCUCUGAGCUG